GACAGAGGCCUCAAGCGUUAGGCGGAAUCACUGGGCUUAAAGCGUGUGUAGGCGGACGCCUAAGUGUUUUGUGAAAUCCCACGGCUCACCCGUGGAACUGCUGGGCAUACUGGGCGUCUUGGGCCAACUAGGGGCAGCCGGAACAAGCGGUGGAGCGGUGAAAUGCGUAGAUAUCGCUUGGAACGCCGAAGGUGAAAACAGGCUGCUGGGGUUGUGCCGACGCUGAGACACGAAAGCCAGGGGAGCAAACGGG
rnacentral:rRNA from 1 species